rnacentral:rRNA from 1 species
UACGUAGGGGGAAAGCGUUGUCCGGAAUCAUUGGGCGUAAAGAGCGCGUAGGCGGUCCGGUAAGUCCGCUCUGAAAGUCCGGGGCUCAACCCCGGGAGGCGGGCGGAUACUGCCGGGCUAGAGUCCGGAAGAGGCGAGUGGAAUUCCUGGUGUAGCGGUGAAAUGCGUAGAGAUCCGGAGGAACACCAGUGGCGAAGGCGACACGCUGGGCCAUACCUGACGCUAAAGCGCGACAGCAUGGGGAGCAAACGGG